rnacentral:tRNA from 2 species
GGUUCUAUGGUGUAAUGGUUAGCACUCUGGACUUUGAAUCCAGUAUUCUGAGUUCAAAUCUCAGUUGAACCU